UACGUAGGUGGCAAGCGUUGUCCGGAAUUACUGGGCGUAAAGCGCGUGUAGGCUGCUCUGCAAGUCGGAUGUGAAAGCCCUGGGCUCAACCUAGGAAGUGCAUUCGAUACUGCUGAGCUGGAGUCCUGGAGAGGAAGGCGGAAUUCUCGGUGUAGAGGUGAAAUUCGUAGAUAUCGAGAGGAACACCGGUGGCGAAGGCGGCCUUCUGGACAGUGACUGACGCUGAGACGCGAAAGCGUGGGGAGCAAACAGG
rnacentral:rRNA from 1 species